AUCUUACUCCCUUCGUCCGAAAAUACUUGUUGGAGAUAUAGAUAAACGUGGGUGUAUCUAGAACUAAAAUACGUCUGCAUACAUCCAUUCCUCCAACAAGUAUUUUUGGAUGGAGAGAGUGUCUC
rfam:Hordeum vulgare subsp. vulgare, WGS project CAJW01000000 data, contig: morex_contig_1558682